GAUGAACGCUGGCGGCGUGCUUAACACAUGCAAGUCGAACGGUGAAGCUCCAGCUUGCUGGAGUGGAUCAGUGGCGAACGGGUGAGUAACACGUGAGCAACCUGCCCCUGACUCUGGGAUAACAGCCGGAAACGGCUGCUAAUACCGGAUAUGCACCAUGAACGCAUGUUCUGUGGUGGGAAAGAUUUUUCGGUUGGGGAUGGGCUCGCGGCCUAUCAGCUUGUUGGUGAGGUAAUGGCUCACCAAGGCGUCGACGGGUAGCCGGCCUGAGAGGGUGACCGGCCUCACUGGGACUGAGACAAGGCCCAGACUCCUACGGGAGGCAGCAGUGGGGAAUAGUGCACAAUGAGCGAAAGCCUGAGGCAGCAACGCCGCGUGUGGGAUGACGGCCUUCGGGUUGUAAACCUCUUUUAGCAGGGAAGAAGCGAGAGUGACGGUACCUGCAGAAAAAGCGCCGGCUAACUACGUG
rnacentral:rRNA from 1 species